CCCUGCGGUGGACGCGGACGCCGGCGCCGUCGCCGCCUUGGGGGCGGCGACAGGCUCGGGGGUCGCGCCCGGCUCGGGGGC
rnacentral:tRNA from 1 species